rnacentral:sRNA from 1 species
UGAUUGUUUGAAGAUCCGACAUCGAGUCAU